AUUGAACGCUGGCGGAAUGCUUUACACAUGCAAGUCGAACGGUAGAGGGGGCAACCCCUCGAGAGUGGCGAACGGGUGAGUAAUAUAUCGGAACGUGCCCAGUCGUGGGGGAUAACGUAGCGAAAGUUACGCUAAUACCACAUACGAUCUACGGAUGAAAGCGGGGGAUCGCAAGACCUCGCGCGAUUGGAGCGGCCGAUAUCAGAUUAGGUAGUUGGUGGGGUAAAGGCUCACCAAGCCAACGAUCUGUAGCUGGUCUGAGAGGACGACCAGCCACACUGGAACUGAGACACGGUCCAGACUCCUACGGGAGGCAGCAGUGGGGAAUUUUGGACAAUGGACGCAAGUCUGAUCCAGCCAUUCCGCGUGCAGGAUGAAGGCCCUCGGGUUGUAAACUGCUUUUGUACGGAACGAAAAGGUUUCCAUUAAUACUGGGAGCUCAUGACGGUACCGUAAGAAUAAGCACCGGCUAACUACGUGCCAGCAGCCGCAGUAA
rnacentral:rRNA from 1 species